rnacentral:rRNA from 1 species
UGGCGGACGGGUGAGUAAUGUCUGGGAAACUGCCCGAUGGAGGGGGAUAACUACUGGAAACGGUAGCUAAUACCGCAUAACGUCGCAAGACCAAAGAGGGGGACCUUCGGGCCCCUUGCCAUCGGAUGUGCCCAGAUGGGAUCAGCUAGUAGGUGGGGUAACGGCUCACCUAGGCGACGAUCCCUAGCUGGUCUGAGAGGAUGACCAGCCACACUGGAACUGAGACACGGUCCAG